rnacentral:rRNA from 1 species
ACUCCUACGGGAGGCAGCAGUGGGGAAUAUUGCACAAUGGGGGAAACCCUGAUGCAGCCAUGCCGCGUGUGUGAAGAAGGCCUUCGGGUUGUAAAGCACUUUCAGUAGGGAGGAAGGUAGUGUAGUUAACACCUGCAUUAUUUGACGUUACCUACAGAAGAAGCACCGGCUAACUCCGUGCCAGCAGCCGCGGUAAUACGGAGGGUGCGAGCGUUAAUCGGAAUUACUGGGCGUAAAGCGCAUGCAGGCGGCCUGUUAAGUCAGAUGUGAAAGCCCGGGGUCUUAACCUCGGAAUUGCAUUUGAAACUGGCAGGCUAGAGUCUUGUAGAGGGGUUAGAAUUUCGAGGUGUAGCGGUGAAAUGCGUAGAGAUCUGAAGGAAUACCAGUGGCGAAGGCGGCCCCUGGACAAACGACUAGACGCUCAGAUGCGAAAGCGUGGGAGCAAACAGGAUUAGAUACCCCGUGGUAGACUGUCA